UCAUCAACUCUAGGGAAUUGCCUUUCAUAACGAGCUUAAGCUAAACACAAACAUAUACAUAUACGUCAGUGUGUACAUAUAAAUAUAGAAGAACAAAAAAUGUAUACGUAGAAAACAGCUCUGCGAACAAGGGUAGUUGUUGGCUCUAAGUUUUCUUGUUCAUUUUCUUUGACCCAACAUCAGGAAAAAAUGCACAAAACUUGCCGACGGGAAAUUGUUAAACGGUAUUUAAACAUAACAAGCAAGACGAGGAGUGGGACUGGGACUGGGAGUGAUACUCGGAGUGAGACUGGGAGUGGGAGUAGGACAGCUAAUCCCAGGGCGCACGCACACAACAGGAAGCAACCACAAAAAUUUGUUAUUUCAAGAGCAACAGCAGCCAUGUAAGGAUAACCCCAACAAUAAGGCGGAUCAACGCGACAUUAAGAAUGGGAACUGUAAUUAAAUAAAUAGAACACGAGCUGUGUGACUCGGAAGCGGGGAAGAGUGGGUAGAGAAUCGAAAGAAAGGAGAGAAUAAAAAUUAAUCGACAAAUAUGAGGUUAUUGUUGCAAGCAAAAAAGCCCUCUAUCUGCGUACUCGAUAUUAGUUGAAUGAAAAUGGUCGAUUUUGUAUAUAUAUAUAUGUUGACUGGCAACUGGCAGAACGUAAUCCGUUUAUCAAAAAUAACAAAGACCAUUGGGAAUUGAAGCCGCAGAAGCCUGUUAAGCUAGACAUUAAUAAAGACCCCCAUUCAAAGUUUUA